AAAAAAAAAAAUCUUUUUAACGUUUUAUUAUUAUAUUAGAAUUUAUCAAUUUAGAAACCCAAUACAAGUAUACAACUCCCUCUUCAACCUUCACAUCUAAAUCAAAGAGCUAAACAGCCUAAACCCCACAACCUCUCUAUUUUCUAAUAUACGCGGCACCCCAAAACUCAGAUCCUUCCGCUGCCACCGCCGCCAUGGAUCAUCGCCACUGCAUCGAUUUCUCUUUGCCUCUCCAUCGUCACUCAAUCCAGCCCAUUAUAUUCUAUGUCGGCAAAUUAUUUUGAGGCACAAAGGAGCUUGCACAACCUUGAGAGAAAAAAAACAACCCUUGGUUAUAUUGAUUUUGGUGUUGCUACAACAUGAUAAAAGCAGACCCCUUCUCCUUACUCCAAAACAAAGACCCACGACCCAUUCAGACUUCAAAGUCCCCCAUUCUGAUUCUCCUUCUCCAGCUCACUCGGCAUUCAAAUACAAAGAAUUUGCAAUUGAAGGCAAGCUUCUCUGAUAAGCAAAAUCCGAACCCAAGGGAUGAAGGAGAUCAAGAUUUCAAAGGCCAAUUUGAUGUAAGCCGUGGCUUUUGUGAUGGGUGGAAUUCAGGAAGCCUGCAAUGAUAUUUGUAGCAUUUGCCUUGAAGCCCUCCUUCUGUGAUAGCGAUCUUUCAAUGGUAUCAUAUACAUAUAACCAAUUUUGUAUCUUUAUAUUCCCAGUAUUUAAUAUAUUGUUUUAAUAGAGGUGACUAGUAACAAGCCUACCUUUCAUCUAUAAGGUAUUAAUCUUGAAUAGUAGUGCAUAUGAGUUCCAAUUUUAAGGGCAUCAAGUUAUUUUCCUUUUGCAAUAUUAUGAUUGUUAGUAGUAACCAAUGGGUUGUGUGGUUAAGGGCUGAGAUAGGGGUGUCAAAUGUAUAACCAUACACAAUAAUAAUUGGGCUUCAACAUUGUAUCCUUUGCAAAGAGAGCAUAGUAGUUACUAUGAAAUUGUAGUUAUUGCUCCUAAAUCGCUAUAUUUGACUUGAGUUCUAGAACUUGUAUUUUAUUUAGAUUAUUGUACAAUGUUACUUAUGGUUUGUGGUUUAUCAAAUUGUUUCUCAUUUUGUAUGCGUAUAAAUCUGUCAACUGUUGUUUACUAUAUGCAUGGUGUGUUUGAUAAAAUGCCUCAAAAAGAUUGUAUUAUGUGACACAAAUGAGGCAAAUUUUGGUUUUCUUUGAUGAUUUUUUGAAAUAAUUAUUGUUCUUUUUUUGACUGAUUUGAGUUGCAUUAUAAUAAUAACUUUGGGCUAGCAUAUUUUAGUUGCUAUGACAACAUGGUCUUUAGAAAUCAGCUAUCUUUAACUUUUUCAUUGUCCCCUUCCCAUUGCUUGCAAUUCAUUUGAACUAACAUGCUAUGGUUUUUGAAAGUUUUUGAGCAACAUGCUUAGUCCUAAGAUUGGCCUUAAGUUGAGGUUUUGUAUUAGUUGCCUUGAGCUUCCCUUAAGUCUCAGGGGACUACUUUUCUACUUCUAUACUUUUUUGCUUAAUGCAUAAUGGGUUCUCUCCAUGAUUGCCUCUUUUGAAUGUUUGAGUUUCAUAA